CCCGGGGGCCGGGGCCGGGGGCGCGCGGCUCGGACCCCCGGCCCGGGCGGCGGCGCGCGCGGAGGAAGGGCGACCCGGGUGGCAAGCGCGGUGGCAGCUCCUCCCGGUUCCCCGUCCGGCGCACGGCGAGGGACGCGGGGCUCUGGGCGCGGGGGCGGCGGGGGCUCUGCGCGGGGCUGGGCUGGGCUGGCCCGCUCCGGCGCCGGGGACCACGCGCGACUGGUUAGAUCUUGUCGUGAUCUCUGGAAAACUGUGACUAUCUCACAUGUCCUGCCCUGCUCGGAUCCCCUGCGCUAACGAGCCAGGCCCCCCUUGAUUGCUGAUUUUACGCUUUUUGGACCAAUUGUGGGUCUCCGGGGGCGGGGUUUUGACAGCUCAGGCCAAGCUCCGGCCGGGAGGGGGGGCCGGGGAGAAGGUGUCGGAAGCCUCAGCAGUAAGAAAACAUGUCAACAGAAUAAAAUAUUAACCAAUGACGGGCCAGCGAGCCCCGAGACCCCUCCCCCUGCCCCGGCCCCCACCCCGCCGCCCGCGCCCGCGGUUGCCUGCGCCCGGACAGGAAAGCGCGGCGGGCCGACCCGACUUGCCGAAAGGGCCUGAGGCGGGGGGCGCCCGGGUCCCAGGGCCCUGGGGAAGGACCCCCAGCCGCAGGCCGCCCCAAGUGCAAAGCAUUGACACGGCCCAGAGAGGAGAGGGGGCGCCCUUCUUCUCCCGCGCCCGGCGGCCCGGCAGCUCUGGCCCGCGCCCCAGCUUGGCCUCCGACCCCGCUCCCGGCCGUGGCGCCGCCCGGGCCCCUGCACUCCGGAGGGAGGCUGCGGGUGCUGGAAAGAGAGGCCGGUGGGCGGGCGAGUCGGGAGGCGCUGGCUGCCGAGGUCCCGGAGCGGAACCCAGGUGGCGGGAGCCGAGAAGAACGUCUACCCGGCGGUGCUGUGACAACUGUAGGAUGCUCACACGGUUAGCAUGGCAUCGGAGGCGUAGAAGCCGUUUGGGAGGUGACGGCCGUGAGGACAAAGGAGAGGAGGAAACAAGGCAACCAAAGCGCUCGGCACAGGGAACAGCGGCCAGGACAUCACGGGAACAGGAGGCCGACAUUUCCUGCACCUCCUGUCUUCCCUCUCCCUUGGACUUAGAGAGGAAGAAAGUGAGCUGA
rnacentral:lncRNA from 1 species